UGUCCAAAUCAAACGAACCAAGUCUCUAUUUGUAGAAAAAAAAAUUAUGAAUUUUGGUAUAAAAAAAAAAUAAAAAAUUAAUUUACAACGAAAUAAUUGAAUUCAAAGUAUUAAAUGAACAAAAAUCACGUCCAGCCAACCAUUGUGUGACACGUGUCCUACUUUUAAAAAGCAAAUUUUUCUCUCCAGGGUGUAAUCCAGUGUGGCGCACGCGCUGGAAUCUGAUGGAUCAGGAUGAUCUGGGCUGUCUGAUUGAUCAGACAGUCUUGAUGAGAUCAGAUCUUGGCUGUCUGAUGGAA
rnacentral:lncRNA from 1 species